GGGGAGUGAACAGGUGUUGUAUGUGGAGGAUGAGGGCUGCAGUAGAUAUCUCAGAUAGGGGGGAGUGAACAGGUGUUAUAUGUGGAGGAUGAGGGCUGCAGUAGAUAUCUCAGAUAGUGGGGAGUGAACAGGUGUUGUAUGUGGAGGAUGAGGGCUGCAGUAGGUAUCUCAGAUAGGGGAGAGUGAACAGGUGUUGUAUGUGGAGGAUGAGGGCUGCAGUAGAUAUCUCAGAUAGGGGGAGUGAACAGGUGUUGUAUGUGGAGGAUGAGGGCUGCAGUAGAUAUCUCAGAUAGGGGGGAGUGAACAGGUGUUGUAUGUGGAGGAUGAGGGCUGCAGUAGAUAUCUCUGAUAGGGGGGAGUGAACAGGUGUUGUAUGUGGAGG
ensembl:lncRNA